CACGUAGGGCGCAAGCGUUGUCCGGAAUUAUUGGGCGUAAAGAGCUCGUAGGCGGUCUGUUGCGUCCGCUGUGAAAACUCGGGGCUUAACCCCGAGCCUGCAGUGGAUACGGGCAGACUAGAGGUAGGUAGGGGAGAAUGGAAUUCCCAGUGUAGAGGUGAAAUUCGUAGAUAUUGGGAAGAACACCAGUGGCGAAGGCGGCUAUCUGGACCGGUACUGACGCUGAGGUGCGAAAGCGUGGGGAGCAAACAGG
rnacentral:rRNA from 1 species